AUUCUUCACCUUAGAGAUAGUUAAUCCAUCGGUAAAAACAAACCUACCAUCAAAUUUUCACUCCCGACCUUUUCAAAGCCAAAUAAGCUCCUCCCGGUCGUUGUCUUGCUUCCAAAAUCACAUUCUUAAUAAUUGACGACCUAACAAUCCAAACCCUUAUAGGAGAAUCGGCAACAUACACACAAUUAACUGGGAAUUCGUAUAUGUAACGCAAAUAUGCACCCGCUUUCAAACGACCUAAAUAUUUUAUUGGAUAAUCCAUCA
rnacentral:lncRNA from 1 species